UACAGAGGGUGCGAGCGUUAAUCGGAAUUACUGGGCGUAAAGCGCACGUAGGUGGCGACGUAAGUCGGGCGUGAAAGCCCCGGGCUCAACCUGGGAAUUGCAUUCGAGACUGCAUUGCUGGAGUACGGAAGAGGAAGGCGGAAUUCCCGGUGUAGCGGUGAAAUGCGCAGAUAUCAGGAGGAACACCAGUGGCGAAGGCAGCUCGCUGGGACGUGACUGACGCUGAGACGCGAAAGCGUGGGGAGCAAACAGG
rnacentral:rRNA from 1 species